CAGGAACUCAGUGCAAUUGUUCCUGCACGUGAAAAGCAAACAAUUGUCAGAACUGCCAUUAGCAAGUUUCGUGCAGCAAUACAGUUGCAAUUUGAUUUCCACCGAGCAAUCUACAAUCUUGGAACUGUUUUGUAUGGAUUAGCAGAGGACACAUUAAGAACUGGUGGUGCAACCAAUCCUGAAGAUGUUUCCCCAGAUGAGUUUUAUAGUCAGUCUGCUAUCUACAUUGCAGCUGCUCAUGCAUUGAAACCAAAUUACUCUGUAUACAGCAGUGCCUUGAGACUUGUGCGUUCAAUGUUGCCAUUACCAUAUCUUAAAGUUGGUUAUCUGACUGCACCUCCAGCUGGGGAACCAAUUGCACCUCAUAGUGACUGGAAGAGAUCCCAGUAUGUAUUAAAUCAUGAAGGGCUUCAACAGG
rnacentral:misc_RNA from 1 species